UGUUGGUUCUCACCGUCCACCUCCUUUUUUAGAGGGUCUCCUCUAUUUCCACUGUGUGUACCAGAAUAAGCCUGUAAGCUUCCCGUGAUUCUCUUCUAUGUCCCUUUUCCCAAAACUAUGCUGAAACCACAGACGUGCGUGCUACUGUGCCAAUAUAGGAGCUGGACAUCAGGAUCUUAGUCAGCAAGCAAUUUAGCCUCGGAAGCCCCUCCCACACUUCUCGGGUAUAUCUUGCCCUCUUUCUAUGCUUUUAUGAAUUUGUGUCAUGCCCUCCCCUCUUCUUUGGCCAUCCAUGUCUAUCUUUCUCUAAUAUCUUUCCAUCUUUAUUCAUAUUUGUUUGUCUCUUGUGUCUUUCUCAGCUUGCCUUCUGUGUUGUUUCUCUUGCUUCCUCCUAGACUAUGUAUUCCUGAACGUCUCUCAAUCUUUCCAAGCCUGUAGCUCUUUCUGCCUCCCAGUGCCUCUUCCAAUUUCUUUUUCUGAACCAUGAAUUCUUACUAUUCUUAUAUCCAUCAAUGUGCCUUACUACACACAGUUUGCGGCACAGGAAAAGGAGUCAAAGCCUGUGCCUCUGCCCUGACAGAUUGAUGGCCUUGUAGGGAGCGGUGGAAGUAGAAUGCCAUCUUUCCUACCUAUGCGUAGAUUGGAAAGGUCUGGGCCCAGGGUGGGGGACAGUGCUGGGGAUAAGACAGCUCCUGAUUGUGUCUGUGUCCACCAUCAGCUCAGAGUCCCCACCUAUUUGGGCAGUGGCUGCUCUCUCUCUCUCUCUCUCUCUCUCUCUCUCUCUCUCUCUCUCUCUCUCUCUCUCCUCAGUUCACCUACCUUCCCCCCUUUCCUCUCUCUAAUUCUUUGUCUCUGUUUUCCCAUGAUUCAUUCUCCCUCUGUCUAGUUUUCCUUCUUGCCUUUCUGUCUCUGCCUCCUCCUUGUUUUCUGUCCAUGGCUCUCCUCCUUCUCAUGUGAUCAUUCUGUUCUCUCUCUCUCUCUCUCUCUCUCUCUCUCUCUCUUUCUUUCUCUCUUUCUUUUUCUCCCCCUAUCUCUCUGUCUCUGAGUCUGUUUUAUCUUCUUGUGUUUUAUGCCUCUUACUUUCUCUCUCAGUGUCUCUGUCUCCUGCUCCCCAGUUCUCUUUUUGUACCUCUUCUCUCUCUGUCUCGUGUUGGCUUCCUGUCACCAAUUCCUCAUCUCCUCACUCACCCUCAGAUUAUCCAUCCAGCCCCAUGGCCUGCCCCUGGACUUCUCACCUUUGGUGGGUGCACAGUUGCCCACCCCUCCUGAAGCAAAGGCCCACCCUCGACCUCAGUUAUCACUCCCCCGACAGAGAUAAAGUUUAUCUCAAGGCUGGGGGAUAUGAAAGCUGCUUAUCAGCUGCCUCAGUAGAGAAAGUGCUGCCCUAACAGGAGGCACAGCAGCUGCACCUACAACUCUCCCUGGGCCCAGCCCCUCACCCCAGGCUAUUGAGAGACCUGAGUGAAAGAAACUGGAAUCUUCCCAGGCUUCUCACCCCAGGAGAAGGGAAAAGAUGCUCUUCUGUUGAAGACCGUUGGGUUAUUGUUAUAACACAGAGAAUGGUGGCAGAACAGAGAGCUCUCAAAUGCAAUGGAGACCUGAGCAGAAUUCAAAGUCAAGGCACAAAUUCCUGUGACCGGAAUCUUCUCAGAGGUACAUUAUGUUUCCUCUCUGUCAACUGGAGGAGAGAAGGGGGCUUGACUUUUUAGAGUUAUGAGUGUCUUAAAGAGAGAGGCCCAAAAAGUUGAACUAUCUGGGGGCAUUUGUCAGGUAACAGGAAAGAUUGGGGUGAUCUUGAGCCACUGGGGUUCAGUGGAACCAUUGGGAAUGGAUAGAUAUGAAUAUCAUGGCUUAUAUAACCAUGAAAAUAUUAUCUGUACUACUUUGGUAGCCUAGAGAGAAUCAAAACUGACUGGUUUUUUUAUAAACAAUUCCUAAGACAGCGAUGGGGUGGAGGGACAACAAUCUCUGCCCCUGGAGCUUCUGAAGAAAACCCUGGCCACUUCGGUUUUGCUUUUUUGUUUUAAACUCACUGUGCCUGGAUAAUCAUGGUUGGCGUGCCUUCCAAAAGUUUGAAUAUUUGUUCAUGUGAAUGUGUUUAGGGUCAUUUUAUACGUCAUAAAAGCAACUGAUUCUGGCUCUAUUUCUUAAAGCUAAACUCCAAGGAUUCAGAAAACACAAAGAAGGUCUGGAGAAAUGGCUCAGUGGUUAAGAGCACUGGCUGCUCUUCCAGAGGACCUGGGUUCAAUUCCCAGCACCCACAUUGCAGCUCACAACUGUCUAUAAUGCCUGUUCCAGGGGAUCUGACACACAGACAUACAUACAGGCAAAACACCAGUGUAUAUAAAUAAAUCUUUUAAAAAAACAUAAAGAAAAGGGAGUUCAUUUCUAGACUUUACCUGGGCAAUCAUAAUAAAAUAUUAUUGUUUUGGUUUGGGCUUGGAUUUGAGACAGAGCUGACUUAGAACUUGCUAUGUAGACCAGAUUAGCCUUGAAAUUACAAAGAUCCACCCAUUUUGGCCUCUGAAGUACUGGCAUCAAAGAUGUGUGCCACUACAUCUGGCAGAAACAUUAAUUUUUUAAAAAAUUAAUUUAUUUAAUUUAUAUGAGUACACUGCUGCUGUCUUCAGACACACAAGAAGAGGACAUCAGAUUCCAUUACAAGUGAUUGUGAGCCACCAUGUGGUUGCUGGGAAUUGAACUCAGGACCUCUGGAAGAGCAGUCAGUGCUCUUAACCUCUGAGCCAUCUCUCCA